rnacentral:rRNA from 1 species
GAUGAACGCUGGCGGCGUGCCUAAUACAUGCAAGUCGAGCGAACGGACGAGAAGCUUGCUUUUCUGAUGUUAGCGGCGGACGGGUGAGUAACACGUGGAUAACCUACCUAUAAGACUGGGAUAACUUCGGGAAACCGGAGCUAAUACCGGAUAAUAUUUUGAACCGCAUGGUUCAAAAGUGAAAGACGGUCUUGCUGUCACUUAUAGCUGGAUCCGCGCUGCAUUAGCUAGUUGGUAAGGUAACGGCUUACCACGGCAACGAUGCAUAGCCGACCUGAGAGGGUGAUCGGCCACACUGGAACUGAGACACGGUCCAGACUCCUACGGGAGGCAGCAGUAGGGAAUCUUCCGCAAUGGGCGAAAGCCUUACGGAGCAACGCCGCGUGAGUGAUGAAGGCCUUCGGAUCGUAAAACUCUGUUAUUAGGGAAGAACAUAUGUGUAAGUAACUGUGCACAUCUUGACGGUACCUAAUCAGAAAGCCACGGCUAACUACGUG